rnacentral:rRNA from 1 species
UACGGAGGGGGCUAGCGUUGUUCGGAAUUACUGGGCGUAAAGCGCACGUAGGCGGCUUUGUAAGUUAGAGGUGAAAGCCCGGGGCUCAACUCCGGAAUUGCCUUUAAGACUGCAUCGCUAGAAUUGUGGAGAGGUGAGUGGAAUUCCGAGUGUAGAGGUGAAAUUCGUAGAUAUUCGGAAGAACACCAGUGGCGAAGGCGACUCACUGGACACAUAUUGACGCUGAGGUAGCGAAAGCGU